rnacentral:rRNA from 1 species
GAUGAACGCUGGCGGCGUGCCUAAUACAUGCAAGUCGAGCGAACAGAUAAGGAGCUUGCUCCUUUGACGUUAGCGGCGGACGGGUGAGUAACACGUGGGUAACCUACCUAUAAGGCUGGAAUAACUCCGGGAAACCGGGGCUAAUGCCGGAUAACAUUUAGAACCGCAUGGUUCUAAAGUGAAAGAUGGUUUUGCUAUCACUUAUAGAUGGACCCGCGCCGUAUUAGCUAGUUGGUAAGGUAACGGCUUACCAAGGCAACGAUACGUAGCCGACCUGAGAGGGUGAUCGGCCACACUGGAACUGAGACACGGUCCAGACUCCUACGGGAGGCAGCAGUAGGGAAUCUUCCGCAGUGGGCGAAAGCCUGACGGAGCAACGCCGCGUGAGUGAUGAAGGUCUUCGGAUCGUAAAACUCUGUUAUUAGGGAAGAACAAAUGUGUAAGUAACUGUGCACGUCUUGACGGUACCUAAUCAGAAAGCCACGGCUAACUACGUG